GAUGUCGUUAAGUCCGCUAACGAGCGCAACCCUCGCUGUGUGUUACAAGUGUCACACAGGACCGCCGGUCUUAAGCCGGAGGAAGGUGGGGAUGACGUCAAGUCAGCAUGGCCUUUAUGUCCAGGGCUACACACACGCUACAAUGGUCAGCACAAUAGGUAGCCAAGCCGCGAGGUGGAGCCAAUCCUCAAAGCUGGCCUCAGUUCAGAUCGCAGGCUGCAACCCGCCUGCGUGAAGCCGGAGUUGCUAGUAACCGCAGGUCAGCUAUACUGCGGUGAAUACGUUCCCGGGGCUU
rnacentral:rRNA from 1 species